UUUUGCAACAAUAAAGAGUGCCAGACUUCAGCUGGAUGAACUUAUUUCAUAACGUGAACAUCAUUUCGAUUCCCGUUCCAAUUACGUUGCAGCUUUUGCGAUUGAUGUUUAAGUAUUCCUUGUGGUUUACAAUCAAAUAGAUUAUCAGAAAAU